AGACAGCACUACCCUGAGAGCCAUGCUGGUGGCUUCAUCAGGAAGGGAGUCAGCAGGGGGAGGACUGGGGGACCAAGCGGUCCCUAAGAAGCAGAAUUUGCAAUACCCAAGGUUUUAGAAAGAGCAACCUGGCAGGGCCACUGCACAAUGAGAUCACAGACUCACCUCCCAGCUGUGAGUGCAGCUCACCCCACCUGCUCUGACCCAGGCACCGGUUAUGAAGAAGACAAGCAGCUCUACAGAGGGGCCUCAAGAAAUCCUUCGAAACAGAAAUCAAAGUCUUGCUGGAAGGGUUCUGGGCACCCUGGACUGUCCACAUGGGAGGCUGUUGGUGCGUGUGCCUACGUGUGUCCAUCAGUGGAUGCACGAAGAAGGAAAUGAAUUGAUUCCAUUCUUGAUGUGACUUUCAGCUGUCAGCUGUCUGCACUCCCAGACGGGGUGAUGGCCUGGCACCAACGGAGCAUUACCCUGAUGAAUCAUGGUCGAGGUACUUUUCCACUGGGCCAGCCGCCACAGCCCCUUCUCCAUCCUUCGGAGAGCUCUGUCACCUCGCCUUGUAGCACUUGUGUCUCUCCCACUGGCCUCCACUUCUUGUGGGCACUUUCUGGAUGCCCAGGCCUAAUCCAGCGCUGGCACUCAGUUAAUUCUCUCUUCCUUUAAAGGG
rnacentral:lncRNA from 1 species